CACCCGUCUUGGUCUCUCCCUCAGCUUUUUUGGCAGUGUAUUGAGCGUGAUGCCACGUAGGGCAGGCUGAGCUCGGCGGACUUGUCUCGUAGUUGCAGAAUAGGCUUCUCUGUUCCCUUGCUCAUGGUAGCCCAGCGCUGUAUCACCAUGCGGUUGGAGGCCUCAGCAGGUGAGGCAGGAUUCCUGGCACAGCUUUGCAAACUUUGCCUCGAAG